rnacentral:rRNA from 1 species
GACGGAGGGUGCUAGCGUUGUCCGGAAUCACUGGGCGUAAAGGGCGCGCAGGCGCCCCGCCCGUCGGGCGUGAAAGCCCGGGGCUCAACCCCGGAACGGCGCCCGAGACGGCGGGGCUGGAGACCGGGAGAGGAGGGUGGAAUAGCCAGUGUAGAGGUGAAAUUCGUAGAUAUUGGCUGGAACACCGGUGGCGAAAGCGGCCUCUCGUCGG